rnacentral:rRNA from 1 species
ACGGGGCCCGGCACAAGCAGUGGAGUAUGUGGUUUAAUUCGAAGCAACGCGAAGAACCUUACCAGGGCUUGACAUCCCUUGAAGCAGCUAGAGAUAGCUGUGUCCUUCGGGACAAGGAGACAGGUGGUGCAUGGUUGUCGUCAGCUCGUGUCGUGAGAUGUUGGGUUAAGUCCCGCAACGAGCGCAACCCCUAUUGUUAGUUGCCAUCAUUCAGUUGGGCACUCUAGCGAGACUGCCGGUAAUAAACCGGAGGAAGGUGGGGAUGACGUCAAAUCAUCAUGCCCCUUAUGACCUGGGCUACACACGUGCUACAAUGGUUGGUACAACGAGUUGCGAGUCGGUGACGGCGAGCUAAUCUCUUAAAGCCAAUCUCAGUUCGGAUUGUAGGCUGCAACUCGCCUACAUGAAGUCGGAAUCGCUAGUAAUCGCGGAUCAGCACGCCGCGGUCGAAUACGUUCCCGGGCCUU